UACGUAGGGGGCUAGCGUUGUUCGGAGUUACUGGGCGUAAAGGGCGCGUAGGCGGCGCACCAAGUCAGGCGUGAAAGCCCUGGGCUCAACCCGGGAAUUGCGCUUGAGACUGGUGUGCUCGAGUACGGGAGAGGAUAGUGGAAUUCCCAGUGUAGAGGUGAAAUUCGUAGAUAUUGGGAAGAACACCGGUGGCGAAGGCGGCUAUCUGGACCGUAACUGACGCUGAGGCGCGAAAGCGUGGGGAGCAAACAGG
rnacentral:rRNA from 1 species